rnacentral:lncRNA from 1 species
AAAAUUAAGGGAACAGCAAACAGCAAAGCUUAAUGCCAGAUUGUUUGAAUUGGGAGCUAGCGAAAUCAGUGAAGCGACCUUAGAGAAAAUUAUAGAGAUCAAACUUGGGUUGAACCUUGAAGCUAACAAGGAAGAGAUUUUCUAGGAACAAAGAGCGAACUAAUUGGCUUCAGAUGGGGACAAAAAUAUGGCAUUCUUUCAUAGAAGCGCAUCAUACCGUAAGAAGAAAAAUAUGAUUAAGAGAUUAGAGGAUGGUUCGGAAACUUGGUUACCAAUUUUGAGGAGAUGUCUAAUAUGGCUGCUGAUUAUUUUAAAGGUCUGUUUUCAUCCACUGAGCUUAGUGAUUACGACAGAUUGAUGGAAUCUUUUCACUAUAUAACGGAGGAGCUCAACAGAGAUUUAAUAGCAGAAUUUAAAGCAGAAGAGAUUGCAAUGGCAAUAAAAACUAUAGCCCCCCUUUAAGGUGUCAGGUAAGGACGACUUUCCUGUAAUUUUUUACCAAAAUACUGGCAUAUUGUUGGGGAAGACGUCAUCAAGUACUGUUUGGAUGUUUUAAACUGCAUAAGAAAUAUGGAGGAAAUUAACAAACAAGCAUAAGCCUUAUCCCCAAGGUAAAUUCACCAAAGAUAAUGAGCCAAUUUAGACCUAUAAGUCUUUGCAAUGUGAUUUACAAAUUAUUUCAAAAGUACUUGUCAACCAGUUUCACUGGGACUUAAUUAUUGCAUUGAAGAUAAUCAAGGGGCGUUAUCUCAGAAAGGCAAAUCACGGAUAAUAUUUUGUGGCAUAUGAAAUCCUUCACUCAUUCAAAAAGAGACGAGGGUCAUCAAGAAAGGAUUUGUGUUAAAGCUUGAUAUAAGCAAAGCACACGACAGAUUAGAAUGGAGUUUUUUAGAAAAAAUGAUGUGCAAGCUAGGAUAUUGUGAAGAUUGGAUCUUCCUUAUUAUGAGAUGCAUUACUAGUGUGUGGCGUAUUUAGUUAUGUUGAAUGGAAGACAUGGGGAAGAUUUCCACCUCAAAGAGGUUUAAGACAAUGAGAUCCACUUAGUCCAUAUUUAUUUCUUAUUUGUGCUGAAGGUUUCUCCACGUUUAAUUGCACUUGCUAGAAGGAAGGGAAGAUUGUCAGGACUAGGGUGGGAAGAGGUAAUGUUUUCGGUGUCACACCUAUUUUUUUGCAGAUGAUAAUGUGUUAUUUGGGGAAGCAACAAUCGAAGGAGCAAAUAAUAUGAAGAAUGUGAUCAAAGAAUAUGAAAGAUAUCUGGACAAUUAGUUAAAAUUGACAAGUCUUUAAUCUACUUCAGUGGAAAUGUCAACUCAGAAACACAGGAAUAGGUGGGUGGAAUCUUGGAAGUAAGGAUUUCAAAUAAUCCUGAAAAUAUUCUAGGGUUGCUGACUAUGGUACGAUGACGGAAAAAAUGCUUUCGUGGAUAUUAAAGUACCAUUUUGUUAAACUGUUGAACAAUUGGAGUUUGCGAUUCUUGUCGGCUAGGGGCAAAGAGCUAUUUAUAAAAUCCAUUUNNNNNNNNNNNNNNNNNNNNNNNNNNNNNNNNNNNNNNNNNNNNNNNNNNNNNNNNNNNNNNNNNNNNNNNNNNNNNNNNNNNNNNNNNNNNNNNNNNNNNNNNNNNNNNNNNNNNNNNNNNNNNNNNNNNNNNNNNNNNNNNNNNNNNNNNNNNNNNNNNNNNNNNNNNNNNNNNNNNNNNNNNNNNNNNNNNNNNNNNNNNNNNNNNNNNNNNNNNNNNNNNNNNNNNNNNNNNNNNNNNNNNNNNNNNNNNNNNNNNNNNNNNNNNNNNNNNNNNNNNNNNNNNNNNNNNNNNNNNNNNNNNNNNNNNNNNNNNNNNNNNNNNNNNNNNNNNNNNNNNNNNNNNNNNNNNNNNNNNNNNNNNNNNNNNNNNNNNNNNNNNNNNNNNNNNNNNNNNNNNNNNNNNNNNNNNNNNNNNNNNNNNNNNNNNNNNNNNNNNNNNNNNNNNNNNNNNNNNNNNNNNNNNNNNNNNNNNNNNNNNNNNNNNNNNNNNNNNNNNUAAAGCAACAGAAGAGCAAAUUGAAGCUGUUAAUCUUAUAUUUCUGAAGUCACAGUAAAGCAGAUCGAAGUUACAAAUCUUAUAUCCUUGAAGUUACAUUGAAGUAGAUUGAAGCCAAAAAGCAUAUAUCAGAAGAGGUAAUGGAUUGAACCAAAGCUACAAGAUACGGAGGACUAAAAAGAGACUACCUGGAUGAGAAGAUCACCAAAAGAAGUCAAAACUUAGCGAGACCGAGCAAAAUUGGCCUUUCUUUGUAUCUUUGCUCUAUUCCCGUUACACGACAAUAAGCAAAGAGGGGCAGCUGUUGUAGGCCAAUUUUGGCCCGUUUACAAAAUACCCAGGCCCAUUAAACCAUUUAACCCAUCCUCAAACCCAAAACCUAAAAUUAACCUAGCCCAACAUCCAAGCCCAAUCCCAAAACCCUAAACUCCCACUUGUCUCUUCCCACUCUCCCAUGCUGUCUGCCACCAGCACCACUCCCACUCUCCCAUGCUGUCUGCCACCAGCACCAUCACACACCCCACCGUCCAUGCCCAUGCCCUGAAAACAAGCAAAACAGAAGCAAGAAUAGAAAAUAAUAAUAAAGUAUGUAAAAAUUAGGCCAUAUAAAAGCCACCCAAACAACAAACGAAAAAGGAGGAGGAUGUACAAAAAGUUUGUAUCAAAAACAAAAGAAAAAAGAAAAGCUUAGAAGGUGAACUUCAAUUUUUUUCCUCUGUUAUCUCAAUCUUUCUGUUUAUCUUUGCUUUGUUUUAUUUUUUUUCAUUAACUUACUUUAAAACGAAAAAGAAUCAAGGAAGAAAAGAGUCUUAUCGGAUCUACCCCGUGGCCGCUCCCCUCUCCGUUCAGCACGGUGAACCGCCGGCGAUGAUGGGUGUUGAAACCUUAACUGAAGAAAGGAGGAAGAGAUAAAAAGGGGGGGUUUGAGAGUAGUUUUUCAGAAAAAAAAAAUAUAUAAAGGUUAAAUGGUUUUAAAAUAAAAAAUUGAAAAGUCAAAAGGAAACGGCGCCACUAACUAUGAUUUGUAUGUUUCUGCUUUUAGGGAUAUUUGUCCCCCUGGUCCCUCAACCUCUCCAGUGCUUUGCAAUUUAGUGCUUUAGUUACCUUUUUCCUAUGAUUUUGCAAUUUGGCCACCUAAUUCUCUGAGGUUUUCAAUUUAGCCCCGUACCAAGCACUGCGUCUUAAUGAUUGGGGAUAUUUCUGUUUUCGGUCCUCCCAUGUUGCGCGUAUAUUGCAAUCUGGUCCUCUCCUCCUUAUUUUCUUUUCAAAUCUGCCCCACAACUUUGUUUUUAGUUUAAUUUUAGUCCUGUUUUCGUUUUGUUUUUCGUUUUUUUAUCUAAAUAUCCUUGUUAUUUUCAUAUUAUUAAUAUUAUUAUUAUUUAUUAUCAUUAUUAUUAUUAUUAUUAUUAUUAUUAUUAUAGUUAUUAUUGUACAUUAGUGUAUAUCUUCAUGUAUGUAUAUAUAUGUAGUAAUGUUUCUAUUACUUUAUUUUAAUAUUUUUAUUAUAAUGGCUUUUGUGUUUCAAUAUUAUUAUUAUUAUUAUUAUAUAUUCUUGUUAGAUGUAUACAUAUAUAUAUUACUGUUUUUAAUACCUUUAUUUUAAUAUCAUUUUAUUAUAUUUACCUUUUGGUAUUGUAUUACAUGGUUAUUAUUAUAUUUAUUAGUGAAUGCCGCUUACCCCCGUAUAUAUUUUUAAUACAUAUUAAUAGUCAAUUUUUUUAAUAUAUAUUAUAUGAAUAAUUUAUAUAUAAUAUUAUGUAUAUAUUUUAAUAUUAUCAGUUAUAUAUCUCUAUACUAUAUGAUUUCUAAUACUAUUAUUUAUAUAUAUAUAUUUUCUUAGUACCACAUUAUGUAAAUAUCAUGUAUAUAUUUAUUUUUACCCAUAUUUUAUUUAUUAUUAAUUUUAAUACAUUUAUUUUAUAAUCCGUAUGUAUAUACCUUUCUUAUUUGUAUUAUUUGUGUAUGUUGCAUUAUUGAUUUUGUAUUUAUUAUUUUCCCUAUUGCUACUUAUUAUAUUAUUAUUUGGUGUAUAUAUAUCUUUUACUAUUAUUAGUAUAAAUGUAUUUUCCUUGUCCAUAGUAUUCCUAAUAUUAUUGUAUAUGUUCAAUUACACUAUGUGUAUUUGUAUCUAGUAUGUAUAUAUUUAGUAAUAUUGCAUAUAUAUGUCUAUUAGGCAUUAUAUUUUCAUACAUCAUGUAUAUAUGUCAUAUAUUAUAUUUUUGCAUAUUAUCUUAUGUAUAUAUUACCUUAUAUUAUUAUUACUAAAUGUACUUUAUAUUUGUUUAUGUUUGGUUUUUAUUUCCCUUUUAAAUAUUAUUAUUGUUUUGCAACUGCUCUAGUAUUAUGUUAAUAUUUUUCAUUUGAAAAUGUCAUUGUUUGCAUAUUUGAUUUAUUUCAAAUUCUUAUUUCAUGAAUAUUUUUUAUGUUUUAAUUACUAAUCGAGGCAAUACACUGAUUUAACGUUAAGUCGUAAAUUUCAUCACUAUGUUGGAUGGAAUUUGUUGGCUCGUGUUAAAACGGUAUAUCCUUCUCAAAAAUCAAAAAUUGAAAGUUCUCGUCUUUUAAAUUGGAUCACGAUUGGAAUUUAAAUUGAACUAGCAUUUUUGAAAAUUAAGACAGCACAUGUUUAAAAGAUACCAAUUUUGGGCGUCGCGAGGGUGCUCAUACCUUCCUCGCGCAUAACUGACUCCCGAGCCCUACUUUUUUUUUCUGAUUUUAACGUAGACCUAAACUCGGCCUUCUUUUUUAAAAAAAAAUAAAUUUAUUAGGUGUCCGAUCAUACCUAUAAAAAGGAUCGGUGGCGACUCCCCUCUUUAUUUCUGUUUUUCAGUUUAUGUUUCAAAAAAAAUCAAACUUCAGUUUUCAAGUUCUCAAUAAAUUGCCACAAUUAGCGACCCCAAACCAAAUUCUUUUUUACGUCGGUACAAUAUUAAUAAAUUCGACAAAAUAUAAUAUUUUGCAUGAAUCAAAUUCAUAUAUUAAUUAUAUUCUUUAAAGAAUAUUAAUUUCCAUAUCAUUUAUAUUUUGACCGAAUUAAUUAAUAUAAUCAUUUAUAUUAAUAAAUUCAGUAAAAUAUAUACAAUUAAUAUUUUGUAUAAAUCAAAUUCAUAUAUUAAUUUUAUCUAUGCUCAUUAUUUGUGUACAACAAAUUUGCCAAAAAUCAACUCAAACAGACAUCAAAUAGACCCUGAUCAAAGAGUUGAUCAACAUUUCACUUGGUGAACAAAGCUGUCUUUUUUCUCUUCUUUUCUUUUGAUUUUUGGCAUCAGACACUUUCACACACACACAAAAAAAAAAAAAAAAAAAAUUGUUGUCACUGCCCUAUUUAAAUAUAUAAGGUAGAAAUUUGUGAGCCUUCCCACGUAUAGUGGGCCACAUGAGCGCCCACACCAACAGAAAGGAACUAGAUAAAUUUGCACAAAGUCCUUGAUAAAAAGGAAAUCGAUUUGAAAGGCAUUAAAGAGUUUAACUUCAUAGGGACUCUUCUACCCAAUAAGGAAGUCAUCCAACAAGCUAAGAAGAGAUUUAAAACACUUAUAACAUUUUUUUUUAAAACCAAGGAUUAUCACUCGAUUACUCAAAGAUCAUUUAAAGAUUAAAGUCCAACUUGAUAUAUAUUUACUCAAAACAGAAGCAGAAUAAUUAAAAACAAAUUUGUAAUUUAUAAUAUAAUUAAAUUUAUUAUUAACUUCUAGUCAAGUUUGUCGAGUAGCACGAGUUCGGGUUUCUCUAGUUUGCCUUGUAACAAGAAACUCUCUUUUUUCUUAGGGUUUUAUUAGGGUUUCCUUGAGUUUCGUAGGGAUUUCUUGUUUCAAAAAAUUUUAAAGGAGUGAUACGGGUGACAUCAAUACAAUGAAGAGGAAGAUCCCAUAGUGGUAUUAGGAGACGAAAUUGCUAUUGAUCAAUUAUAUAAUUUAUGCUUGGUAAGGAGAGUUCUUACAGAUAAUGUGGUGAAUUUGCCAUAUUUGAAAAUACUCUGGCUGAUUUAUGGCAUCCGCUGAGAGGGGUGACUAUUACGGAGAUGGAUGACAAGCGAAUCUUGUUCAAAUUCUACAAUGAGAUUGACUUGAAACGAGUUAUGGAUGAUAUGUCAUGGUACUUUAACCGACAUCUUAUUAUCUUCCACAGGUUAACAAGGAAUAAUGAGUCAAAUACAGUUCCUCUCUGGUAUACAAUUUUUUGGGUACAAAUUCACAAUCUUCCGAUUGGUUUUAUAAUUGAAGGAAUGGCACAACAGUUUGGGGACUUCAUUGGGAAAUGUGGAAUAUGAUGCCUCGAUGGUAACAAGAGGGGUUAGUAAAUUUAUGUGAGUUAGAGUUCUAAUUGAUACUCGUCUCCCGCUCAAAAGGAAGAAACAAAUAGGUAUUGGUAUGGUUUUUUUCAGUAUGAACGAUUGUCACUAUUUUGUUUCCUUUGUGGUCGGUUUGGACAUGGUGAAAGUUUCUGCCAGGUCAGAUUAACAUUAGGGGAUCAACAAGUGGAGUUUGGUUGGGAUUUAUCAUUGAGGGCUGCACCAAGAAAAGGUGGUCAAUCGACGAGUAAAUGGCUUCGAGAGGAACCUGAAUCUGAAAUGUGGAUCAAUAUGGAAAUUGAUGGGGAAAGAAGGGAAAGGAAAUUUGGCAUGGACGUAACAAGCAACAGAGAUUAUAGAGGAGGGAUAGGAUUUUGGGGACGAUUCACAAGGCAGACACGAAAAAAUAUGGAAACAAGGGCAAAUGAUAAGUUGGAGCAAUUGGAGGAAAGGGGGAGCAGAAUUAAGAUGGAAAAUAUACCUGUGGAAUUUGUUGAUGAAAAAAGAGGCAGAGUUUAAUUCAAGUGGGAAAUUCUGGAAAUAACAGAAAUUUAUUGGAGUUGGAAUUGGAAAACAAAAUAUCGGUAGCCACUGUUAAGUUGGCUGACUAGGCACGAUGAAAAUUAUUAGUUGGAAUGUUCAUGGUUUGGGGCAACCACAAACAGUUAGACGUCUCAAAAAAAAUUAAGACAUAUUCAGCCCCAAAUUUUGUUUCUUAUGGAGACAAAAUUUUCAUGCAAACGAAUUGAGACAAUAAGAAGGCAGUGUGGAUUCAUGAACGGUACUGAUGUUGAUGCGAUAGAAAUGGGAAGGGAUUAUCAUUAGGAUGGAAGAAGGGGUUGAAUUUAAAUUUAAAAAGCUAUUCGAAAUCUCAUAUUGAUGUGGAAGUCAAAGAAGAGAAUGAAUUGGUAUUAUGGAGAUUCAUGAGAUUUUAUGGGGCACCAGUGGAGCACGAUGCCGGAGAUUUUAAUGAAAUUCUACUUUCUUUUGAAAAAAAGGGAGAAUUAGAGAGGAAAGACAAAUGGCUGCAUUUAGGAAAGUAUUAGAAGAUUGUGAGCUAACUGAUUUAGGGUUUUUUGGACAAUGGUACAAGUGCGAAAGGGGUAGGAUUGUUAGCAAUAAUAUUAGGGAGAGGUUGGAUAAAGGAGUUGCAAAUCCAGAGUGGUGGGAUCUAUUUUCAAGUUAUGUAGUAUGCCAUUUACAACAUAGCUUCUCAUAUUACUGCCCAAUAGUAGUAAAUACAAAUGGAGAUGGAGGUAGGCUUAUUGAGGGGGGACAAUGGCAAUUCAGAUUUAAUGCUGAUUGGAUUCUGAAUCCAAGCUUCGAGGAGUGAAUGAAAAAUGAAUAAUCUUCAAACAAUCAGGAUGUUUUGGUGAAAUUGAAAGAUCUGGGAAUGACUUUGAAUUGCUGGGCAAAAAAGGAGAAAAAAUUAAGGGAACAGCAAACAGCAAAGCUUAAUGCCAGAUUGUUUGAAUUGGGAGCUAGCGAAAUCAGUGAAGCGACCUUAGAGAAAAUUAUAGAGAUCAAACUUGGGUUGAACCUUGAAGCUAACAAGGAAGAGAUUUUCUAGGAACAAAGAGCGAGAACUAAUUGGCUUCAGAUGGGGGACAAAAAUAUGGCAUUCUUUCAUAGAAGCGCAUCAUACCGUAAGAAGAAAAAUAUGAUUAAGAGAUUAGAGGAUGGUUCGGAAACUUGGUUACCAAUUUUGAGGAGAUGUCUAAUAUGGCUGCUGAUUAUUUUAAAGGUCUGUUUUCAUCCACUGAGCUUAGUGAUUACGACAGAUUGAUGGAAUCUUUUUCACUAUAUAUAACGGAGGAGCUCAACAGAGAUUUAAUAGCAGAAUUUAAAGCAGAAGAGAUUGCAAUGGCAAUAAAAACUAUAGCCCCCUUUAAGGUGUCAGGUAAGGACGACUUUCCUGUAAUUUUUUACCAAAAAUACUGGCAUAUUGUUGGGGAAGACGUCAUCAAGUACUGUUUGGAUGUUUUAAACUGCAUAAGAAAUAUGGAGGAAAUUAACAAAACAAGCAUAAGCCUUAUCCCCAAGGUAAAUUCACCAAAGAUAAUGAGCCAAUUUAGACCUAUAAGUCUUUGCAAUGUGAUUUACAAAAUUAUUUCAAAAGUACUUGUCAACCAGUUUCACUGGGACUUAAUUAUUGCAUUGAAGAUAAUCAAGGGGCGUUUAUCUCAGAAAGGCAAAUCACGGAUAAUAUUUUGUGGCAUAUGAAAUCCUUCACUCAUUCAAAAAGAGACGAGGGUCAUCAAAGAAAGGAUUUGUGUUAAAGCUUGAUAUAAGCAAAGCACACGACAGAUUAGAAUGGAGUUUUUUAGAAAAAAAUGAUGUGCAAGCUAGGAUAUUGUGAAGAUUGGAUCUUCCUUAUUAUGAGAUGCAUUACUAGUGUGGCGUAUUUAGUUAUGUUGAAUGGAAGACAUGGGGAAGAAUUUCCACCUCAAAGAGGUUUAAGACAAUGAGAUCCACUUAGUCCAUAUUUAUUUCUUAUUUGUGCUGAAGGUUUCUCACGUUUAAUUGCACUUGCUAGAAAGGAAGGGAAGAUUGUCAGGACUAGGGUGGGAAGAGGUAAUGUUUCGGUGUCACACCUAUUUUUUUGCAGAUGAUAAUGUGUUAUUUGGGGAAGCAACAAUCGAAGGAGCAAAUAAUAUGAAGAAUGUGAUCAAAGAAUAUGAAAAGAUAUCUGGACAAUUAGUUAAAAUUGACAAGUCUUUAAUCUACUUCAGUGGAAAUGUCAACUCAGAAACACAGGAAUAGGUGGGUGGAAUCUUGGAAGUAAGGAUUUCAAAUAAUCCUGAAAAAUAUCUAGGGUUGCUGACUAUGGUACGAUGACGGAAAAAAUGCUUUCGUGGAUAUUAAAGUACCAUUUUGUUAAACUGUUGAACAAUUGGAGUUUGCGAUUCUUGUCGGCUAGGGGCAAAGAGCUAUUUAUAAAAUCCAUUUUACAAGAGAUACCAAUUUAUACUAUGCAAUGUUUUAAAUUACUGAUUUCGCUUUGUCGAGAACUAAAAAAUUUAAUGUGCAAAUUCUUGUGGCGUAAUUCCAAAACAAAUAAAGGCAUACACUGGUGCAAAUGGAGUGAUAUGUGUAUCCCCAAAGCGAAGGGAAGGUUAGGUUUUAAAGACUUCGAAAAUUUUAAUUUGGCCUUAUUAGUGAAGUAGGGGUGAAAAAUUAUUACGCAGCCUCAUUGUUUAUUUGCGCAUGUCAUGAAAGCAAAAUAUUUUCCAAAAGGGGAAUUUAUGAGUACUAGGUUAGUCUCUUACCUUUCGUUUACCUGGCGUAGCAUUUGGGGUGCUAAACAACUUCUUGAGAAGGGAAUUGGUUGGCGAGUUGGGAACAAUGAUGCAAUUAAUAUAUGGAACGAUGUGUGGUUACCGAGGCCUAGAAGUGGAAGAAUACAAUGUCAGAACAUAGAUAUUAGAUAUACUAUUGUUUCUGGCUUAAUUGAUAGGAAACUUCUACCUAGAAGCAAAACACUAUCCGAUCAUUAUUUGGAGAGGCGCAGCUGAAAAGUAUUCUUUCAAUCCCAUUGGUGAGUAGCAGACCGCACGAUAAACUAAUAUGGAGAGGUGACAAUACAGGGAUUUACAUAGUGAAAAGUGGCUACAAAUGGGCUAAUACACCGGGGAAUCCUAGGUUACAUAAUGAAAUUAAUUCUACUUUCUUUACAAAGCUAAGGGGUCUCAAGAUACCGAGCAAAAUCCGUAUACUCAUGUGGAGAACAGCAAAUGAGUUCAUGCCCACUUUGCACAACCUAAGAACCCGUAAACUGGUUGCAAAUACACUUUGUCCGGUGUGUCAAGCCGACAAGGAAACUGUGAGCCAUCAUUUUAGAGAUUGCACUAUCACACAGCAGAUAUUGCAAGGGAUGGGAGCGGCAAAUACAAUAUGCAAUAGAGAAACCAGAUGGAAAAAUUGGUUAGAAAAUGAGCUCAAUAGACAGAAUACAGAAAUAUGCAAAAUUAGAUCUAUCGUAUACUAGGCUAUCUGGUACAAUUGCAAUGAGAUUUAUCAUGAAGGAACAAGAGAACAAGUAAGUGAAAUAGUGGGGUUUAUCAACGCUUAUCAUGUAGAAAUAGCUUUUAUGGGAGAGUUUUCAAAAAAUGCGAAUGGCGUCAAUGAAUCUGUUUGGAAACCAUCGGAUGACGACAUUAUAAAAAUCAACUUUGAUGCAUCUUUUAAUCAACACACGAAGUGUUCAAUAUUGGGAAUUUUAGCGAGGAAUAAAAAAGGGUUAGUGAUGGCUGCCUGUACCUUCUCAUGGGAGAAUAUUCCAGAUCUUGUUACGGCUGAAGCAAGGGCGUGUCUACAAGCACUCACUAUGGCGGAGGAAAUGGGUUUCCAAGACAUUUGUGUGGAAUGAGAUGCAUUGUCCAUAAUACAAAAACUAAACUCCUCUGAGGAAGAUAAAUCAAACAAGUAGUCUAAUUAAAGAAAUAAAGGGGAGAACCCCCAAAUUUAGAAGGUUGAGCUUUAAGCACGUACCUAAGGAAGCCAACAAAGCGAGUCACAAGAUGGCGAUAGAAGGAAGAAAAUAUGAAGAUCCCCAAUACUAGAUAGAAGAGGUUCUGUACGCGGUGGAAGGACUGGUAAUUCAUGAUAGAAGAAGCUACAACGACGGUGGUUAAAUGGAAAAAUAGAGUCCGGACUUUGUGACUUUGAGUCUGUCCGAUGAACUCGUUACCUUAUUAGAGACUGAGGUUUAGAAAAGUAUGAUUUUUUUGGAGAAGAUUCAGUCUCUCAAAUGGCUGAUUUUUUUGGAGAAGAUUCAGUCUCUCAAAUGGCUGAUACAUGAUAAUCUUUUCGAAUGACAGAGAAGAAGGAAAGGUUUCAGGCCAGAAAUUCUUAUUUUUAGUCGAUUCAUUUCUUCAUUCGUUUUAUUAGGUUAUGUUGUUUUUUAGUUUCUUUAUGUGAGUUUCUUUAAUGCACCGUUUUGGUGCCCAAUAAUUA